rnacentral:rRNA from 1 species
UACGUAGGGGGCAAGCGUUGUCCGGAUUUAUUGGGCGUAAAGAGCGUGUAGGCGGCCAGGUAGGUCCGUUGUGAAAACUCCGGGCUCAACCCGGAGACGCCACCCGAUACUGUCGUGACUGGAGUCCGGUAGGGGAGUGGGGAAUUCCUGGUGUAGCGGUGAAAUGCGCAGAUAUCAGGAGGAACACCGGUGGCGAAGGCGCCACUCUGGGCCGGUACUGACGCUGAGGAGCGAAAGCGUGGGUAGCAAACAGG